rnacentral:rRNA from 1 species
ACGUAGGGUGCGAGCGUUGUCCGGAAUUAUUGGGCGUAAAGAGCUCGUAGGCGGUCUGUCACGUCGGAUGUGAAAACUCGGGGCUCAACCCCGAGCCUGCAUUCGAUACGGGCAGACUAGAGUUCGGUAGGGGAGACUGGAAUUCCUGGUGUAGCGGUGAAAUGCGCAGAUAUCAGGAGGAACACCGGUGGCGAAGGCGGGUCUCUGGGCCGAUACUGACGCUGAGGAGCGAAAGCGUGGGGAGCGAACAGGAUUAGAUACCCUGGUAGUCCACGCCGUAAACGUUGGGCGCUAGGUGUGGGGGACUUUCCACGUCCUCUGUGCCGCAGCUAACGCAUUAAGCGCCCCGCCUGGGGAGUACGGCCGCAAGGCUA